AAACUGAUUUUGUUGUUUUCAGGUUUAAGCUACAACUUUAUUAAGCUUGCUUUAUUAUUUAUAUUCAAUGAAAUGUUAGAAUUGUGUACUACUUCUGCUCUCUGGCUGCUAAUUGAACAAUUUCUUAGGGUUCUGUUUUUUCAGAUUCUUAUUAUAUUUGCUGACUUUCCUUUGAUUAUAUUUAAAUGUUGGGGUUGGGGUUUUGAUGAAAUUGAAUAGGAGUAUCUGGAGGUACUGCUUCG
rnacentral:misc_RNA from 1 species